rfam:Lentinula edodes NBRC 111202 DNA, contig: scaffold159.
GGCGCUAUAGCCAAGUGGUUACGGCGACAGAUUAGAAUGCAACUCGUACCUAUCUGUUCCUCUUUGAGGGCGCAGGUUCAAAUCCUGCUGGCGUCG